rnacentral:rRNA from 1 species
AUUGAACGCUGGCGGCAUGCUUUACACAUGCAAGUCGAACGGCAGCGCGGGGCAACCUGGCGGCGAGUGGCGAACGGGUGAGUAAUACAUCGGAACGUACCCAGAAGUGGGGGAUAACGUAGCGAAAGUUACGCUAAUACCGCAUACGAUCUACGGAUGAAAGUGGGGGACCUUCGGGCCUCAUGCUUUUGGAGCGGCCGAUGUCUGAUUAGCUAGUUGGUAGGGUAAAGGCCUACCAAGGCGACGAUCAGUAGCUGGUCUGAGAGGACGACCAGCCACACUGGGACUGAGACACGGCCCAGACUCCUACGGGAGGCAGCAGUGGGGAAUUUUGGACAAUGGGCGCAAGCCUGAUCCAGCAAUGCCGCGUGAGUGAAGAAGGCCUUCGGGUUGUAAAGCUCUUUUGUCAGGGAAGAAACGGGAUUGGAUAAUACCUAGUCCUAAUGACGGUACCUGAAGAAUAAGCACCGGCUAACUACGUGCCAGCAGCCGCGGUAAUACGUAGGGUGCAAGCGUUAAUCGGAAUUACUGGGCGUAAAGCGUGCGCAGGCGGUUUUGUAAGUCUGACGUGAAAGCCCCGGGCUCAACCUGGGAAUUGCGUUGGAGACUGCAAGGCUUGAAUCUGGCAGAGGGGGGUAGAAUUCCACGUGUAGCAGUGAAAUGCGUAGAGAUGUGGAGGAACACCGAUGGCGAAGGCAGCCCCCUGGGUCAAGAUUGACGCUCAUGCACGAAAGCGUGGGGAGCAAACAGAAUUAGAUACCCUGGUAGUCCACGCCCUAAACGAUGUCUACUAGUUGUCGGGUUUUAAUUAACUUGGUAACGCAGCUAACGCGUGAAGUAGACCGCCUGGGAGUACGGUCGCAAGAUUAAACUCA